rnacentral:lncRNA from 1 species
GUGGAACGGGCCAUUUAUUUCCAACCAAGUGAUUCACGAUGGAGGCCGAGCUUCGAUUAAAUGUCAGGAUACGAAUGACUGAGAGGGAGCGUAUCCUGAUAGCCUGAACAUGGGGUUUGAAAGUGGCAGCUGGUCCUCUGGCCCUCAGUAGUGCUGGAGUGAUGUACUCAUCUGUUGGAUUCGUCCAUAUGGUAGGGAGGAGGCCCGCC